rnacentral:misc_RNA from 1 species
GUGGCCUUGAAUGCACUAAGAAAUUUGGAGUUUCUCUUCCCCUUCCUUUGCGUGCCCAUGAAAGAUUAAACAGAGAUAAGGAAACAAAUAUAGGGCUCUAACAUGAGCUGCUCUUUCAGCUUGCAAAUCCCCAAGGCUUUGCCUUGUCCCUCUCCUCAGCCUUACUGCAGAAAACCCCCUCUCUACAUUAUAGCUAAAUACAAACCAAUCCGCGCAGCCAAGCUUGAUAGGGUAACAUUUUUUUUUUCUCUUUUUCUUUGUUUGAAAUUAUAAAAUUCCAUAGUAAUUUUGAACAAUUGCACAACUCUUCAUGUUCACACCAGAAAGUUACGAGCAUCAGUAGAAAGCCUGAAGACAACAAUGAUGUGAAGAAGUUCAGCUUGGCAGUUCAACUUGGUGCACUUUUGGCCACUGUAAGAUAUGGAAAUUGAUUUGUCCUUAAUCACCUCGUUUUCUUUGUCUUGGCCAUGAAUCCCAGUUCUUGAGAUUGAAUAACUCAAUCAGGUUGAGCAGCCAGCAUUUGCAGUGACUGGGGUGAAUAAUGAGGAGGAUUUGACAUGGGUUUUGAUACAAUUGGCAAUUGUUGCCUUUUGGUAUUUCCUCAUUAUGCCACCAAUAAUCAUGAACUGGCUUAGGGUAAGAUGGUACAGGAGAAAGCUCUUUGAGAUGUACUUACAGUUCAUGUUUGUCUUCAUUUUCUUCCCAGGGUAAGUUUGCCCCCCUUUUCAAGAUUAGCUAAUCACCCGAAGAAACCACAUUAGAUUAAAUUCAAUUGCGUAAAGAUUCUUGAUUCGCACCCAAUAAAUAAGAGGAAAAAAUUUUUUUUAAAAAAAAGGAAAAAUGUUGUGCUUCUUGCAAUGUUUGGCAAACAAUUGAAUUAUUUUCCACCUUGUGCAGGAUACUACUUUGGGCACCAUUUCUGAACUUCAGGAAAUUUCCAAGGGAUCCAUCCUUGAAGUAUCCAUGGUCUACACCUGAAAACCCAUCACAAGUCAAAAAUGCGUUUAGCAAGUACCCUUAUGCUACACCCGAAGAUUAUGACUGAAAAUUGCUUACAAUUCUUUCACAACUUAGGGCCCUUGGAAAGCUCCCUUGUAUCGAAUAACUUAAUGGGAUCUCUUCUGAGAAUCUUUUUUAUACAAUUAUUUGAACUCCGAAUUGUUGCAAACCACAUAAUUUCUCUUCUUUCUUUGCCUUCUGUAGUGAUCUCUCAGAUAAUGAGAGAAUCAGAAAUUUGUGUCCGUACAUCUUUUAUUGCCAUCAAUUCUCUCGACAAAAUUGCAUUGAUAGGAGUAAAACCAUUUUCUUUUUAACAAGAGAGGAGCAACCUAAUGAGAGACAACUGAAGAUAAUGGAAGACUAGCCAAACAAAUUGUACCGAGAGGAAAAACAUGUAUUGAGAGGCGUAACUAUUAGCUUCCCUAUAAACAUAAAAAAAUCUGAUCAGACCGAUUGGCUUUAAUCAUGUCCUUGAUUAGAGCAAUGAGAUGGUCAUUGCAGCUAAGAGCAACA